GGUCGGAAGUUCAAGUCUUCCCAGGCCCACCACACUCAUCGAGUGAGCAUUCGUCUUCUGGUUACGGGGCCAUAGCUCAGCUGGGAGAGCGCGUGCUUUGCAAGCAUGAGGUCGUCGGUUCGAUCCCGUCUGGCUCCACCAGAUGGUUUGAUCAUCGACUGAUCGUGCACCUGAAAUCGUCCGCGAAACAUCACUUCGCACCCACUAGUCCGGAUGGACGGUGACGUGCGUGAUUUCUGACAUCGUAAAGAGGAGAUCGAUCCGAGUUGGAUCGUGCAGCAAGCAAUUGCUACGCGAUACUUCAUUAUCUCCGGAUCAUUUCGGCGCUCGUGCGUCUUCCAAGGUAGCUCACAAGGCUGCAUUGAAAGACAGGCGAGUUGUAAAUGAUCCUUUUAGCGAAGCUUGACCGCCUCGCUAUCGGAACGAUCUUACGAAGCAAGCUGGUCUUUCUAAUCAUUGUCCGGCUGCAGAUAGCGUUCAUCGAGGGCGCGUGCCGCAAGGCAGUUCUGCAGACAACAUUCUGCCGAGUGUGUGGACAUUGAUAAUGAGAGC
rnacentral:tRNA from 1 species